GCUGCAGUAGCUCAGUUGGUAGAGCACGUCCUUGGUAAGGACGAGGUCAUCGGUUCAAGCCCGAUCUGCAGCUCCA
rnacentral:tRNA from 1 species